UGGAUGGGGGUGCGUCUGAUUAGCUUGUUGGCGGGGUAACGGCCCACCAAGGCUACGAUCAGUAGGGGUUCUGAGAGGAAGGUCCCCCACAUUGGAACUGAGACACGGUCCAAACUCCUACGGGAGGCAGCAGUGAGGAAUAUUGGUCAAUGGGCGAGAGCCUGAACCAGCCAAGUAGCGUGCAGGAUGACGGCCCUAUGGGUUGUAAACUGCUUUUAUAAGGGAAUAAAGUGAGAGUCGUGACUCUUUUUGCAUGUACCUUAUGAAUAAGGACCGGCUAAUUCCGUGCCAGCAGCCGCGGUAAUACGGAAGGUCCGGGCGUUAUCCGGAUUUAUUGGGUUUAAAGGGAGCGUAGGCCGGAGAUUAAGCGUGUUGUGAAAUGUAGAUGCUCAACGUCUGCACUGCAGCGCGAACUGGUUUCCUUGAGUACGCACAAAGUGGGCGGAACUCGUGGUGUAGCGGUGAAAUGCUUAGAUAUCACGAAGAACUCCGAUUGCGAAGGCAGCUCACUGGAGCGCAACUGACGCUGAAGCUCGAAAGUGCGGGUAUCGAACAGGAUUAGAUACCCUGGUAGUCCGCCACGGUAAACGAUGGAUGCCCGCUGUUGGUUCUGAAAUAGG
rnacentral:rRNA from 1 species